GUGCUGGCUUGGGCAACACAUGUGCUAAAAUUGGAAGGAUACCGAGAAAAUUAGCAUGGCCCCUGUGCAAGGAUGACAAGUAAAUUCAAGAAGUAUUUUUUU